GGACUAAUAGCUCAGUGGUAGAGCGUCGGAUUGCAGAUCCGCAGGUCCUGGAUUCGAUCUCCAGUUGGUCCU
rfam:Magnaporthe poae ATCC 64411 unplaced genomic scaffold supercont1.5, whole genome shotgun sequence.